CAACUGUCUAACACUUUCAGUUCUAUUUUGAUAUCAUCCCUGUUUCUUGGUUCUUUAAUCUGAAAGUGCAUUUUUGCUCUGUAAAUUUCUCAGAUUUUUCAUUUGCUCUUUCUUUUCACCUCUUCGGCUCUUCUGUGCCUGUGAUUUGCGGGCACCGCCUCUUGGAGAUGAGACAUUUCAUGGAGCAGUGGUGAUUGGUGUGAGUUGGAAUUAAUUAAUUAGCAUGAACUUAAUUAAGAGUCGCAGAUAUAUACGUUUUCUUUUAAUUUUUAUGCAGCUACCAGUGUGUUACUCAUUGUAUGCUAUAUUUUUGUCAUUGACCAUCUUUUAUUUGGGAUUUACUGUUCCCAAUUAAUAUGUGCCCCAUUUUCAGACUUACCCCAGAUGUCCCUCUAGAUGAAACUGAAAUUCUGAGAAAGGAUGGUACUAAGCAUAAGAUUGAUUGGUUAGUUUUUUUUUUGACUAGAUAUCUAUGUUAAUUCCUAAUUCACCUGAAAUAUCAAAAAGUUAUGGUACAUGAUAGUAUCUUCUCAUUUGUUCAAGUAACAGCAAAUCUUCAGCUUUCUCUUUAGACAAAUAAAAUAUGUAUGUGGUGAUGAAUGCAACAAUUGGACAAGCAGAAAAGAAGAGGAAAACAAAACAAAUGCAUUCCUAAGGCAAGCACAAGUACACGUUUACUAAUUUGUGCAAAUCAAAGCAAUCUUCUUGAUUUAUAUUAAUGUUCAUUAAUUGUAUUUAGUUAUUUUAUCUUUUAAAUUUGAUAAAUACUAUUUGAACGGAUGUCCUCAGCAGUUGAACCCAAUCAAGUACAAGUUCAAAUAUUAGCAUAUUGAAUGCUAACUUUUUGCCAUCUCAAUUCAACUCUGAUUUUAUUGCAGACCUGGAAGUAAAGCAAUUUGUGCAUAUAUAAUUACCAUUUUUCUUCUUUUAGAUGAUUUAUAUUUAGUUAUUCACUCCCCUGUUAUUUAUUUCCUAGAAAUUACACACUCAUGAUUCAAGGAUAAUAAAUGAUGAUUUCUUGUGGAAAGCUUUUGCUGAUUUUUUUUUUUUUUUUUCAUGCACCUUAUAAGUAGUAGUGACAAUGAUGUCUGUGCAAGGUGAUGCACCUAAUUGCCACAUAAUUUUAUUUCACUCAAUAUUUUAUAUUUAAUCAAAGUUGCAGAGUACUGUAUCUUUUUCUUUGCUGGUAUUAUAUUGAAUUACUCUUUUGACUUUGUAACUGGUUGAGAUAAACUGUUGUUUGGGGAUUAACAUGGUAGUGCAUACGACCAAACCAUUUUAUGGGGGAAUUCACAUUAAGAUGCAAAAAAUUAAAGGUCUUGAUAAAUUUUAAGGGAGCUGUGGUUGAUGAUCAGGUAGUUAUUAUCUAGAGGUAUCUAUGACAUGAAGCAUUAGGCUAUUCAAGAAAAGGUUUAUUACUGUCUCGACCCAUGGUUGAUAUUUGAUACACACAUGUGAUGGUUAUUCUGACUCUGAAUGAGAUACUGGCUCCGGCUAUGGCUGUUUAACUCAUGCAUAAUAACAUCACAAAGCUCAUGGUCUCAAGGUUAUUGUUUUCAAUCAUAUGUUUGAAAACUUUUGCUUGACAUGAAUCGAAUUAUUUUAAUAAAUAUUUUUUUCCCCUUAUUUUUAUUUUGUCUUUUAGAGUGCUACUAUAUUGGCACUUCUUUUAGAGAGUUUCCAUAGUCUUAUAUUUAAUCGAAGGCUUGGGAUAUUUAUAGUUUUUAUCGUAUUUUGGAUCAAUGAUAAAGAAAAGAUUUAUUUUAUGCAGGCAUGAAUUAAUAAGAUCUUGGUGGCGCUCCUCUUAGUUUUCGUUAUACAACUUUCAGAGAAAACCAAUUUACAUGCUUUUCGAUGUUAAUCAAACACAUCAUAUUUUUUUAUUAUCUCCUUGCUCUUUAUCCUCUUCUUGGUUGCAAUGUGGAAUUACAUGAAGCAGUGAAGAGCAACACGAUCAAAAGAAACUCCGAAGAGAAGCCUGCUACUAAACCACGAACGAAAAAAUCUAUUCAAUCAGCAUACAGGUUAUAUCAAUAGAGGAAAAGAAGAGAUUCCUGAGUUUUUGUCAAUAGAGAAAAAGAAGAGGUUUCUGACCUUUUUGACGAUCAAGGUGUUCUAAACUGGUGUCAAUUGGUGCUGACAUCUUUACUCUAGCUAAUAAAGGAAGAGUAUUUUACUAAUUGUUAUUACUAAUCGUUAGUUUUAGUAUUUUUAAUUCUUCUUUAUAAUUUUGUAUGAACGAGCGCACAAAGGAAUUGAGAUUUAAGUGCAACAAAGGAAAAUUUGGCCUUGCUAAUA